GACCGGACCGGCCCCGUGGGCAGCAGCUCCACCCUCCGGCAGGGGCCCCGCCCCCGCCCCAACCGCUCGCUCUCCCUUGGCCCGGCCAAGCGCUCGAUCCGGAAACACCGACACCACGGGGCAGAAAGGGGCUUCGUAGAGACGGCGGCGGCACGGGCUCAGCUCGGCGCCUGCCUGACACCACAUCCCAGGCCUGGGCUCCAUCCCCAGCACCAAAAGGGUGGACGUGGACGAGGAAAAGAACAGCGACAUCCACACCAGCAUCUUUGAUCUCUCCAACCCAGUGACCGUGACGGAAGGUUUUAGGGAUGAGGUGGCAACCGCACCGGCCUCCUGCUCCCCAGACCUGGCCCAGCGCCCCAGCAACUGGGCUCCCACGGCAGAUGCCUGCUCUGUGGCCCCGGGACACCCUAGCUUCAAGUCAGUUAUAGGAGGUCGCUGUUCACAAAGCCCGCCUCAGGGUCGCCGUCGGUUACGAGCUGCAGCGCCCGCCCGCACUCUCCUGGGCUGGACGUGAUCCACGCGCCCACUACCCUCCCCCUGGUGCGGCUGCGUCGGGACACACUCGUCGGGACACACUCGUCGGGACACACUCGGGACACACUUCUGCCUCGGCCCGGCUCCGCCAGCCGAAUGUGAGCCAUUCAAAGCAACGUCACAAACCACGCCCGGGCUACACCACACUGCUCCUCUGGUCACCUACGCAGGCUGGAAUUUGGACACAGAGCACCAACUCCGAGUGGAGCAGCGCUUUACGGAAGUCAGUCAGGGCUGGAACACCCCAGCUUCCGGUUUCGCAGCGUGCAGCCUUCUACGGCGAUCGACUCCAGAAGGAAGGGGCGAGGCGCGGUGGCCUCUCCGUGAGACUCGCAUCUCAUGGAGUCAGCACUCUGAGGAAGCUCGAGGCCCUGUGUCGCCCUCGUCCCCACCCUGCGCUGACUCCACCGCGUCGUCCGUCACUCCAGGCCGCGCACGUACCGCGCAGACACCGUCCACUGGGGAGCACGGCGGGGAGAGGGCGGCAACCCCCGAGGAGUGUGUGCAAAGUGAGGCGACAAAGGCCGGGAGCCACGAGCGAAGGGCCCGACUGCGCCCAGGGAUCCCAGCAAGGAGGCCAAGUCACGUGGGACAGAGGCACGUGUCCGCAAGGGCCGGAGCCAGGCCUGGGCGCGGGUCUCACGGGAAUGGAGUCGCCAGAGUCGCGAGCUCGCAGCCUGGUCCCCACACCAGCAGCCUCUGCCUGACCUGCGGUCUGACCCCAGCAAACGCAGUGCCGGGCGACAGCUUCCCCACAGCUCAGGGGACCCCACCCCACCCUGCCCCGCCGGAAGAGGACGUACCUCACCUACCCUGAAUCUCAAGGAAUCCGGUGCAAUUAUCAGAAACGCAGGCUGAUACCCCUCACCCACAAUGACACCAGAGUGUCUGGGACUUCUUUAAAUUCUGGAACCUUUGCUCACCCACGGGAAAUAGGGCAGGGCUAACACCACGCGCUCCCUACAGGGCUCGCACGCGCAGCCUGGGACGCAGUGUUACUGGCGCUGCUGCACCUUGGCCACAGGCGUCACGCGGUCGGAAGAGACCUCCCUGGUGGCACCGCAGGAGGUUCCCUGCCCCAGCCCUGUGCCUGGCGCUGCUGAAGCGGCCCCGCCCUUCCCUUCCAGAGUAAGUCAAAGGCCCUGGACCUGCUGGGGCCUCACCCGGAUCCUCUCCUGGGAAGGAGGCUUGCUCUUUGCCUCUGUCACUCUCACAUGGUUCUGUCCCUGUCUUAUCUGUGCUGCUGGUCUGCGAAUUCCGCAAGGACCAAGGCUGCAGCGCUCAGGGCUUCCUCCCAGGUGCCCAGCUCCUCCACCGCAGCUCACAGCCCAGAGCCACUCGGAUCCCGGACGCAGCAGGCCUGACGGGGCCGUUCACUGAGCUGAUUCUGAGUCUGGGAUUCAGUGUCCUCGGAGUUGGGGACGGGGGAGGGGCAGGAGGCCAAGACGCUUUCAGGAGCUGUGACCACCAAAGCUAUUCUGCUCAGUGUGGAUAAACUGAGGGAGAAGUCUUUUCUCUCUGGUCAUGCCUGAAGCUGAAUUUAGACCGUUUCGAAUUCCAAACACCUCUUCCAAAGUGACUCACCUUGAGGCCGCUCUGCUUUCAACAGCUGUGAUAAGCAAUCCCCAAGUAAAUUAAAAGAACUAAAAACACGAAGUCAGUUAACUCUCGCCACCUCCCAGCUGUCGCUCUGGCCUGUUACUCAGUCGGGACAGCCACCCGCGCUCAGCGGACCACUGCUGGCAGCGCCUUCCCUUCUCCCCCACCUGCUCUGCAGUCCACCUCCUUCCGGUGUCGGCAAGAAAUGGGAAGGGGCAGGAACACAGAGAUGGGCAGGGUGCAGCACACCCUCUCACAGAGCUUGGCACAUAAUCCCAGCACUCUGAGGGGCUGAGGCAGGAGGGUUGCAGGUUAGAGCCCAGCCUGAGCAACUUAAUGAUUACCAAGACCCUGCCUCAAAUAAAAAAUGGCUAGUGGUGUAGCUCAGGGUGAAGGCUCUGGGUUCGAUCCCCUGAACCAGGAAAAACAGGCGCUACCAAUAAUCACUACACAGUGCAAGGACGUCCUGGUGCAGCACAGCCUGGCCCUGGGAGGAGCAGCAGGCCCUCAGAGGACCAGGACCGUGUCGCCUGCACAGCAUGUGAUGUCCCGGUGGCUCCAGCAGGCCCAGCAUGCUGUCACACACAGCCAGAGGCGAAGCUGCUGAAAUACGAGGAUGGGAGGAUGCGGAGGCCAGACAAGGGGCAGUCAGUGCUCAACCGCGGGCCGCACCUGUGCUGCAGAAGUGUUGAAGGAAUCAAACGCAGGACCUUGAGCUUGCCAGGCGCAGCCCCACUGAGCUACAUCCCAGGCCCCAACCCUGCUUGGUUUUAAAGAACACGGUACAAGAAGGCCUGGACUGGAACUGCAAAGUGGCCCUCAGAGCUCGGAACAGAAGGUGGCUCCGCUCCAGUGGCACAGGGGAGCCACUACGCAGCCUCCUCUGUUCCCAACCCCGGGGCGGCCGUUUCUGCCCACACCUGGGCCUUGCAGGCGUCACUCAGUGAGGGUAGGGAGGGCAGGCAGCAAAGUGCUGACCGAGUUUGCACCAGUCCCUACCCUCCUGGGCUCCUCGGACUCCAAACUAGCUGCCCUCCCCACCUUCCCGGGACUCCCAUGUGGCCUCUCCAGUAUCUGUCCUCCAAGGGCAAAAAAGCAAGCUUUCCACUCCACCGCAUCUGCCACAACUGCCCGCCACACCUCUGGGGGCAACAGCACCCUGCCCAGCCCGGGUCCCACCAUCCCCACUCAGCUCGCCCCGGCCCCACAGCCUCCAGAGGUCCCACCUGCAGAUCUCCCAGGACAGGACGGCUAAGUGUCACUCCCCACCUUCAAAUCUGAAGCAGCUGUCCCUAGCUCCCCGAGCUGGUGUCCCCCCUGGCACGCAGCUCCCAGAGCAGGGCCCUGGCCAGCUGGACGUGCCCGAGUACCCUGGCUGCACUGUGCUGGGGGGGACCCCACGCCCGCUCCACUCCUGGGCCUUUUCCUCCAGCAGCUCGGACCACGCCUUGUGUAAGGACAGUGCAGGGAGGUGGAAAUCCUGGACGCCCUCCCUGCAAGCACCAUCAUCUCUCCCCGAUUAUGCCCCUCUCCUCGCCUGCAGAGGUGAGGAGCUGCGAGCUCUGGGGCAAACUCGAGGUGGAGAAAAGACAGUCUGCAGCUCCCGUAAGCUCCUGAGAGAUCCGCCAACCUUCUGGUCAGCUUGGACCUCCACAGGGACGUCUCCAUUUUUUCUUUCUCUGCUCUAAGUAAUUAUGGUUAUGCUCUGAAGAGCAGCACUGAGUCAACCAUCAGCCAAAGGAAUAUCAAGGCCACUGUGUGUCCUGUCUCAGACCUGAACCUAUUAUGGCCCGGGAAUGGGAUGCUCCACCCACAGUGCACGGGGCACAGAGCACAGGCACAGCGCCCACGAGGGCUCCCGGAGCAGCGCUUCGCCUGAGCCCGACUGGACCCGACCGGACGCCCCAGCACGCACACCGAAGUGGAGCACCGGUAAUGCGCACCCUGCCUGACCAUGUACUCGCUACCACGAGAAGCUGAAGCUGCGGCUCUGUAACAGGUCACACCAUGGUUAUCUACCACUUUCCUAUGCUUGUGCCUUAAGGGAUUUUUGGUUACAAUAUUUGAAACUUAAAAUAGUACUGAGUUAUAAAUUUGAUUCUAGAAGAACAACUGAGUAUGUGUUUCAAAAGUUCAGUACUUACCAACCAAAAGGGCAUUUUGAUCAACAAUUUGGUUCCAUUAUCAUCCAGGUGAUUUGUUUUUAAAUUUAUUUUAUGGAGAAAAAAGGCUAGAAAUGACCUGGUGUACAAGUCUGUGAAACUGCUUUUCCUGCCCGUGGCCCGAUCACGUUUAGGACCUGAAGUCUCUAGCAGACAGACACGUGCUUUGGGUAACUCGGGAUGUUACGUGCUUUAACGCUCACGGCCUCCCCAACGCCCCGUGGUCCCUAGAGUUCCUAGGGUCAGCUUAGCUCAGGAAGACAGCACUUUCAGGUCCCAUCCACCACUCAACAUAAGUGCACCUUUCAUUCCAGUCCUAUCAGCUGUGUUCCUCCCUCAGUUCCAGCUGAUUAAAGAAAAAUGUUCCGUUCAGUACCUGGCACCCCGCCGCACUCGAGCAUUUCAGCAGUGCGUGGCUGCCGAGGUGGCAGAAUGCUACCUCUCACACCCACGGGCCUCACUCUCAGGACACUGGUUGGGAGAGCUGCGGAGAAGUCUGCAGCCCGCGCACACCACAGGCCACCCCAGGGAGCUGAGCAACCGGGCAGCACAGGGGCUUAGACUAGCUUUGGAAGGACUCCAAGGAGUGCCACACACCGACCCAAAGAGAUGAACAACUGCAGUUUUCCUGAAACCUCCAGAGAGCUUUGUUUCACUGUUUCUACUGUGCACCAGGGAGGAGCUGAGGGAAGGGACUGCUCUUCCUCAGGGCAGUGCAUGAGUCAGGGGCCGCCCAUCCCCUCCAGAUAAAUAAAUCCUCUUUAAUUUUUAAAGUC